UACGGGGGGGGCAAGCGUUGUUCGGAAUUACUGGGCGUAAAGGGUCUGUAGGUGGCUUGCUAAGUCAGACGUGAAAUCCCUCAGCUUAACUGGGGAACUGCGUCUGAGACUGGCGAGCUUGAGGGCAGGAGAGGAACGCGGAAUUCCAGGUGUAGCGGUGAAAUGCGUAGAUAUCUGGAGGAACACCGGUGGCGAAGGCGGCAUCCUGGACCAAUUCUGACACUGAGGAGCGAAAGCCAGGGGAGCAAACGGG
rnacentral:rRNA from 1 species